rnacentral:rRNA from 1 species
CCUACGGGAGGCAGCAGUGAGGAAUAUUGGUCAAUGGGCGCGAGCCUGACCCAGCCAAGCCGCGUGAAGGAAGAAGGCGCCCCGCUUCGUAAACUUCUUUUGUCGGGGAACAAAGCGCGCCACGUGUGGCAUUCUGCGUGUACCCUACGACAAAGCAUCGGCUAACUCCGUACCAGCGGCCGCGGUAAUCCGGGGGAUUCGAGCGUUAUCCGGAUUUAUUGGGUUUAAGGGGUGCGUAGGCGGUCCGGAAAGUCAGCGGGAAAAGCCCGGGGCUCAACCCCGGCGAGCAGUUGAAACUGUCGGACUAGAGACGGCGAGAAGUACGCGGAAUGCGCGGUGUAGCGGUGAAAUGCAUAGAUAUCGGGCAGAACUCCGAUUGCGAAGGCAGCGUACCGGAGAGGGACUGACGCUGAGGCACGAAAGCGUGGGUAUCGAACAGGAUUAGAUACCCGUGUAGUC